CCUACGGGAGGCAGCAGUGGGGAAUAUUGGGCAAUGGGCGCAAGCCUGACCCAGCGACGCCGCGUGAGUGAAGACGGUCUUCGGAUUGUAAACCUCUUUCAGCAGGGAAGACAUACUGACGGUACCUGCAGAAGAAGCCACGGCUAACUACAUGCCAGCAGCCGCGGUAAUACGUAGGGGGCAAGCGUUAUCCGGAAUUACUGGGUGUAAAGGGUGUGUAGGCGGGUUUGCAAGUCAGAUGUGAAAAUUAUGGGCUCAACCCAUAAACUGCGUGUGAAACUAAAGAGCUUGAGAGUGGGAGAGGUAAACGGAAUUCCUGGUGUAGCGGUGAAAUGCGUAGAUAUUGGGAGGAACACCAGUGGCGAAGGCGGUUUACUGGACCACAACUGACGCUGAGGCACGAAAGCGUGGGGAGCAAACAGGAUUAGAUACCCGAGUAGUC
rnacentral:rRNA from 1 species